GCUGACUUGAUGUCACUUUUUGCCAAUCAGGCCCCUGGGCCCAAAUCCCUAAUCGUUCUGAUGGCCACGUCCAAGGACACAUAUUUUACAGAACAAUGCUCACGUGGUAUGGCAUCAUUCACAGACCCACCCCUAGGAUAUGACAGAUUGUGUAUCAUACGGAACUCACUGGGAAGUUUUUUGGGCACUAUGCCAAGUGGGGAAACUAUAAUUUUUUUGAAAAGGGGGGCAGGGAAAGGGCUGGCUACUAAACACCUAAAUGCCGCUCUUUUUCAAUUUUGUUAAAUGCAACAAGGGGCAUUUCCCUUACCAACUUUUGAUUGGGAGGGGUUCUGGAUACUGGUGAGCUGGAGACGGGGAUGCAGAAGCUGUGGCGGACCCCUGCCUCCAAGUAGUUGGCUGCAGCCCUGUUGGGAUAAGCUUGUAACAAAGGUAACAUCGCUGAGAGGCAGACAGGGGUUGGGGCUAGGGCGGAAAGAACCUCAUUUUCCAGAGGCAGCCUUGGCCUGUUGGGUUCCAGAGGUAGAGGCUCCUGAGUCUCCCUUGGCGUCCCUGGAUCCACUCCCCUAUCCUGUCUUUCGAAAACCACAAAAAGGAGGCUUAGCCCGAAAACACUUAGUCCGUGGGUGAGGACCACCGCAGCGCUCGCACACAUGGUCAAAAUGGCAUCUGUCACUGCUACACAACCCAUUAUUAAACUCCCAGCAUGCUAACGUAGCCACCCUCUGUACUUUGGAGGAGGGUUUGCCUGAUUUCCCCCCAAAAGCCCUUUUUUGGAAGUGUGGUGCCACUACUUCGAACCAAAUAUCACUGUCCUUAAUGUCCCACCGCGCCUUGGGGUCUUCAGCAGCCCUCUCAUGGAAUCCUCAUCAUACGCUAAAGCCACCGAGCCCCCUGCCAUUUUCCUGGCUUUUAAAAUAAUGCCUUGGUAGUUGGCUAGGUGCCAUGCCUUGUCGGGGUAAGUGGCGGCCACCAACCCCAUGUAGGAUGUGUGAGUGAUUAACUGUGCUGGUCCCGGGGGGAAGGUUACCGUUGGCGUAGUCAAAGUCCGGUCCUGGGUCACUGGUGUGGAAACAGUUCACAAGGAGCGAGGCGAGGUCAGAAGCUGGAAGCUGGGCGGGGACAGGAACACUGGAAGGUCAGAAGCUGGAAGCCGGGUGGGGACAGGAACACUGGAAGGUCAGGUCUGGGUCUGGGUAGGUGCAGGUACUCAGCGACGACGUUGCUCCCGCAACCUGGGACUGGGCUGACUGGCCUUUAUCUUCUCUGAGGCCAGGGGCGGUCCCGGCCCCCAGGAGACCCGCCUCUCCUGGCCUUAAGGCGAGCACUCCUCCUGGGAGAAACCAGUUCCCUUCGCCUCUCUGCCCUGAGCCUCUGCAGUUCAGGAGAGGCUGAAGGGUUACUGGGCCCAGGGGGAGACUCACCUGUAGGCACUGAGUCCUCAACCACCUCUGGAGCCAGAAUGGAUUCACCUGAGGAUCCGGCACAGGUGCAGGCGCUUCAGAAUCAAGGCCCUGCCCCAGUUCAGCCGGCCCUGGAGGCGGGGACUCCUGCGCAGGCUGGGAUUCCUCCGGUUCAGCCUCUGAAUCGGAUUCCCAGGCCAUCACACCAUCCCCCCUCCCAGCCCCCCCCCUCAAUCGAGGGUCUGGACCCGGCUUGCUGGGGUACGCCGCAUGGAAAUCUCGGAGGCAGGCAGGCGCGUGGACGUUGGCUGCUGGUUCCCAGGAACGGUCCUCCGGUCCAUACCCCUUCCAGUCUAUGAGAUACUGCAGCUUUCCCUUGCGGUAUCGGGAGUCCAGAAUGCGUUCCACCUCAUACUCAGGCUCCCCCUGAACCAAAACUGGCUGCGGUCGGGGACGGUUCGGGUGGAACUCGUCGGGUGGGGCCACCGGACUCAGAAGGGACCUGUGGAAUACCGGGUGAACCUUCAGGGUUGCAGGCAACCGGAGACGGAAUGCCACAGGCGAGACCUGGUCCACGAUAGGAAACGGGCCGGUGAAACGGGCGUCCAGCUUCCGCGAAGGUCGAGAGGGGUGGAACUGGCAACGGCUGAAGUAGGCCGGGGGGUCGCCCGGUAGGGCCCUUGGCCCGCCGGCAGACAUCACGACCAGCAACGUAGCGAGCCACGUCAGCCUUCAGGCGGGGCCACCAAAACUCACGGCUUACCAGAUGGGUGGUCCGAUACCGCCCAAAGUGUCCCGCUGCUGGGGCAUCAUGGGUCAUCCGGAGAACCUCAGCCCGCAGUGGCCCUGGCGGGAUAUACAGGCGACCGUGGUGCAGCAGAAGGCCCUGUUGCAAGACCAGCCCCGGAUACUGAGGGCAUGACCCUUCGGCCAGUUCCCGGAGUCGCUCCUGGGCCCAAGCGUCGACCCGCUGCUGUUCCCGCACCCGAGCCUGCAGUGGCUCAGCCUCCUGGGUGGCCAGGAAUGCAGCCGGUGGUAGGAUCGUGGUGGGUACUGCUUGCUGUACCGUGUCUGCGCUGUCUUCAGGUUUCCGGGACAGGGCAUCUGCCUUCUGGUUUUGGGAGCUAGGGAUGUAGCGGAUCAGGAACUGGAACCGGAAAAGAACAACACCCACCGGAUCUGCCUUUGGUUCAGCUUGCGGGUGGUCUGGAGGUGCUCCAGGUUCCGGUGGUCGGUUCUCACCUCCACUGGGUGUCGUGCCCCCUCAAGAUGGUGGCGCCAGACUUCAAAGGCCACCUUGAUGGCCAGUAGUUCCCGCUCCCACGCGGUAUAGUUGCGCUCCGCUGGAAGGAGCUGGCGGGAAUAGAAGGCGCAGGGUAAGAGUGGUGCAUCAGGUCCGUACUGCUGAGACAAGACGGCACCGAGAGCCGUACUGGAGGCGUCGGUCUCUACCACAAAGAGUCGAGAGGGAUCAGGGUGUUGCAAAAUCGGCGCUCUCUGGAAACAGGCUUUCAACCCCUGAAACGCCUCCUCUGCCUCCUCGUCCCAGGAAAACGGCGUCUUGGGGCGCAGUAGCCGGGUCAACGGGGUGGUGCGAUGAGCAUAAUCUGCAAUGAAGGUCCGGUAAUAGUUGGCGAACCCCAGGAAUCGCUGUAGGUACUUGCGGUUCCGAGGUGCCACCCAUUCCUGAACCGCUGCCACCUUCCCAGGAUCCAUCUGCACCCCAUCUGGAGAGAGUCGGUGACCAAGGAAGUCCACUGACCGCUGAUGGAACUCGCACUUGCUGAGCUUCGCAUACAGGCGGUGCUCCCGCAAGCGCUGCAGCACGGUCCGGACAUGACCCUCGUGGAGAGCCGGGUCACGGGAGAAAACCAGAAUGUCAUCCAAGUACACCACCACGUACUUGUCUAGCAAGUCCUGGAACACGUGGUUGAUGUACUAUUGGAACACAGCGGGCGCGUUGCACAAUCCGAAGGGCAUAACCAGGUAUUCGAACUGCCCGUACCGGGUCCCGAAUGCUGUCUUCCACUCAUCCCUGGCUCGGAUCCGAAUUAAAUUGUAGGCCCCCCGGAGGUCUAGCUUGGUGAACACCUGCGCCCCUUGCACCUGCUCCAGCAACUCCGAAAUAAGGGGCAAGGGGUACCAGUCUGGGAUGGUAAUUUUGUUCAGGGCCUGGUAAUCAUGGCAAAGGCGAAGCUCCCCACAUUUCUUCUUAACGAAGAGCACUGGCGCAGCGGUGGGCGAGGUUGAAGGCCUAAUGAAACCACGCUCCAGGUUCUUGCGCAGGAAGUCCUGCAAAGCUUCGCGCUCUGGCUCUGUUAGAGAGUAUAAGCGACUCACCGGCAGGGGUGCUCCGGGCUGGAGGUCUAUGCCGCAGUCAAAAUGCGGCCGAUGCGGCGGCAGCUGGUCUGCCCCCCAUUCCUCGAACACGUCUUGGUAGUCCCGGUACUCAGCGGGGAGCGUGGAUGCAGCCUCCUCAGUGGGAGCGGCUGCUAGCAUCUCGGACUGAGCAUGGGGACAUGGGUCUGGGAAGUGCACAGUCCGAUUGACCCAGUCAAUCUGAACAUUGUGAGCCUCCAGCCAGUCCAUCCCGAGCACCAGGGGGAACCGUGGCAUGGAGGCAAUGUCCAAAGUUCGCACCUCCCGGUGCUGCUGGAGACACAGGACCAAGGGCUGGGUCUCCCGAGUGACGGCACCCGAACGCAGGAGCCGUCCGUCAAUUGCCUCCACCUGAACUGGUUCUGGCUUGUUCUGAAGUGGCACCCGAUGAUGAGUGGCAAAGGCAGCGUCCAUAUAGGAGCGGGUUGCCCCUGAAUCCACCAGAGCAUGGGUAAUAAUCCAGGGCCCACCUGGAGGGUAGAGACGCACCGGAACCAUGUGAUGUCGCAAAUCCACUGGUGAGGGCCCCUCUUGCAUGGUUUGGGACCCCAGGUUGCUAGGGCCUUCGGCUACCGAGGUUGGCGGUUUCCCUGCGACUGGCAUCUUCUUGGGACAGGAUCGGGCGUAAUGUCCACUCCCACCGCAGUAAAGACACUGGUUCCCCUCCCGACGCCGCGUCUUCUCCGAGGGGGAGAGGCGAGGUCGCACAGCCCCGAGCUGUGUUGGCUCGUCCGGCAACUCGGCUGUGGGCGUGGACCUGCUGGGAAGGACUGGAGCCAGGAGCCGGGGGUGCUGGCGGUCCCGGGCCUGGCGACGGUCCUCCAACCGGUCGUCUAUCUGCAGGCUCCGCUGAAUAAGGGCGUCCAGCGUGGUGGGAUGAUCCAUCAUGGCCAACUGGUCCAGUAUCUCAUCUGACAGUCCCUCAAGAUACUGGUCCCGAAGUGCAGAGUCAUUCCAAGACAAGUCUUGCGCCAACAGCCGAAAUUCCAUGCUGUAGGCGGCCGCAGUGGACUUGCCCUGUUUCAAAUGCCUAAUUGCCUGGUUGGCUUGACUCUCCUUCUGGGGGUUGCCGAACGCAGCCUCCAAAUGGUUGCAAAACCCCAUAUAGUCUGUCAGCAAGGGGGAGUCUUGCCUGAGCAGCGGCAAUGCCCACUUGGCCGCCUGGUCCUUUAACAAACUGAUCAAAAAGUGCACCUUGGUGCGGUCGUCAGGGAAGUUCUGGGCUCGCCCCAAUAUACAACUUGGCCUGGGCGAGGAACAUGGGAAAGCUGGCCGGGGCCCCAUCAAAUUUCUCUGGCAAAGCCACUGGGUACUUGCCUGGAGCUGGGGCGUCGGCCACAGGAGCCGGUAGGGUGUCCAACCACUGCUGAAGUGCCGUAACGGCAUCGCUUAGCUGCUGAACGGUGUGGGUCAAGGCCUGGUUCUCCUGGGCUAAUGCCACCAGCGCAGCUGCCUGGUCAGCCAUGGCUUCUGGCUUUUCCCAAACGCACCCCAACGAAGGGGGAGUGCGGGUGUGGCGGGAGCAAACUGUGCUGGUCCCGGGGGGAAGGUUACCGUUGGCGUAGUCAAAGUCCGGUCCUGGGUCACUGGUAUGGAAACAGUUCACAAGGAGCGAGGCGAGGUCCGAAGCAGGUAGCCGGGCGGGGACAGGAACACUGGAAGGUCAGAAGCUGGAAGCCGGGCGGGGACAGGAACACUGGAGGGUCAGGUCUGGGUCCGGGUAGGUGCAGGUACUCAGCGACGACGUUGCUCCCGCAACCUGGGACUGGGCUGACUGGCCUUUAUCUUCUCUGAGGCCAGGGGCGGUCCCGGCCCCCAGGAGACCCGCCUCUCCUGGCCUUAAGGCGAGCACUCCUCCUGGGAGAAACCAGUUCCCUUCGCCUCUCUGCCCUGAGCCUCUGCAGUUCAGGAGAGGCUGAAGGGUUACUGGGCCCAGGGGGAGACUCACCUGUAGGCACUGAGUCCUCAACCACCUCUGGAGCCAGAAUGGAUUCACCUGAGGAUCCGGCACAGGUGCAGGCGCUUCAGAAUCAAGGCCCUGCCCCAGUUCAGCCGGCCCUGGAGGCGGGGACUCCUGCGCAGGCUGGGAUUCCUCUGGUUCAGCCUCUGAAUCGGAUUCCCAGGCCAUCACAUUAACCAAUUAUCGAAUGUUCUAUCAACAUCCACUUCAUCAACAUCCUUCUUAUGACGUGAUUCCAGCUUAAACUUGGAACUACAAGAAGAAGCCGGGGAGAGCAGAGAAAAUAUAUCUACAAAUUCCCCAUUUAGGAUGCGGUUGCGAAGAUUCUUUUUAAGCCGAGUGCUGGGUGGCUGAUCCGUCCGCUUGAAGUUUGACCCCCACACCCUCCCUUUUGCGUCCAGCCCAUCUUCCUCGCAUGGCUCCGUGACCCCAAAAGCGUGGCGAUGACGCUGGAUGUGAUGUUCCCAAAUCCAACUAGGAAGGCCAGGGGCCUUGUGGGUAGUAACCCAGUACCCCUUACAGCGUUCUUCCAACUUGCCACAGGAGGAAUCACACGUACUUGAAAGAUCCGAAGGAUCCAAAGUGUCCCUCUUGCACUUACGCCCAUGCUUCCUUGAUCUGAAAGACCUCUUCUUCCUGCGUUGUGUUCUGCGCGAAUUGGGGCUGCAGGAGCUGUCAGGUGAACUCGAAACGGGUGACCUAUGCCUACGCCUACCCUCGCAAGAGGGGACUUAGACUUAUCUAAAUGCUCCUCAGCCUGGGCCAGGUGACACUGCAGGCUGCGAUUCUGGCACAUUAAUUCCGGCACAUCAUCCCCACAGGAAAGAGAAGUGUUACUCUCAGCCACGAGCUCCUCUGGGAAUACACACUUUUUCUUUUUAGGGUGGGCCCUGUAGGGCCUGGCAUCAGAGGUGGAGGGCCCGUCAAUAUGAUCAUCCCUCGCCUUUUUUCUAGUUAUUACAAGCCUCAUAAGCAAGACAAGGCCCUUUAAAAAUCCUAUUGGUUGCUUUUAUAGCGCUGCUCGGGGUGCCCUUCGCAGCGGCUUUAGGGGUGCCCUCCACUAUGGCUUCAUGAGUGUGAGAGGGGGAGCCUUCCCUUUGUUCUGCAGCCAUGGCUAGAGACAUGAUGCAUCUUGAGGCGAGCACACCACUACUAGCACCCGCUAAAGACCUGGGCGAGAUGGGCAGGUCAUCUUCUUCUUCUUCUACUACUACUACUACUAGUACUACUACUACUGCUACUACUGCUACUACUGUGAAGCUGAGGCUCCAAGACUUUGGCCACCUCAUGAGAAGAGAAGACCUCCUGGAAAAGACCCUGAUGUUGGGAAAGAUGGAGGGCACAAGGAGAAGGGGACAACAGAGGACGAGAUGG
rnacentral:lncRNA from 1 species